rnacentral:rRNA from 1 species
GACGAGUUUGAUCCUGGCUCAGAUUGAACGCUGGCGGCAUGCUUUACACAUGCAAGUCGAACGGCAGCACGGGCUUCGGCCUGGUGGCGAGUGGCGAACGGGUGAGUAAUGCAUCGGAACGUGCCCAUGUCGUGGGGGAUAACGUAGCGAAAGCUACGCUAAUACCGCAUACGCCCUGAGGGGGAAAGCGGGGGAUUCUUCGGAACCUCGUGCGAUUGGAGCGGCCGAUGUCGGAUUAGCUAGUUGGUGGGGUAAAGGCCCACCAAGGCGACGAUCCGUAGCGGGUCUGAGAGGAUGAUCCGCCACACUGGGACUGAGACACGGCCCAGACUCCUACGGGAGGCAGCAGUGGGGAAUUUUGGACAAUGGGGGCAACCCUGAUCCAGCCAUGCCGCGUGAGUGAAGAAGGCCUUCGGGUUGUAAAGCUCUUUCGGCCGGGAAGAAAUCGUGGUCUCUAACAUAGGCCAUGGAUGACGGUACCGGACUAAGAAGCACCGGCUAACUACGUG